rnacentral:rRNA from 1 species
CAGUCGCCGCGGUAAUACGUAGGUGGCAAGCGUUGUCCGGAAUUAUUGGGCGUAAAGGGCUCGCAGGCGGUUUCUUAAGUCUGAUGUGAAAGCCCCCGGCUCAACCGGGGAGGGUCAUUGGAAACUGGGAAACUUGAGUGCAGAAGAGGAGAGUGGAAUUCCACGUGUAGCGGUGAAAUGCGUAGAGAUGUGGAGGAACACCAGUGGCGAAAGCACUCUGCUGGGCCGACACUGACACUGAGAGACGAAAGCUAGGGGAGCAAAUGGGAUUAGAUACCCCGGUAGUCCCUGUCUCUUAUAC